rnacentral:pre_miRNA from 1 species
AUUGCCCAGGAAUUUUGUUAAAAUGCAGAUUCUGAUUCAGUUGGUCUGGCAUGGGGCCAAGAUUCCGCAUUUCUAACAAGAUUCCAGGUAAUUAGAA